GACGUAGGAGGCGAGCGUUGUCCGGAUUCAUUGGGCGUAAAGAGCGCGCAGGCGGCUUGGUAAGUCGGAUGUGAAUCCCGAGGCUCAACCUCGGGUCUGCAUCCGAUACUGCCCGGCUAGAGUGUGGUAGGGGAGAUCGGAAUUCCUGGUGUAGCGGUGAAAUGCGCAGAUAUCAGGAGGAACACCGGUGGCGAAGGCGGAUCUCUGGGCCAUUACUGACGCUGAGGAGCGAAAGCGUGGGGAGCGAACAGG
rnacentral:rRNA from 1 species